AACCAGCUCUUCAAGUGGUCGGGAUAAUUAUUGGGCUUAAAGUGUCCGUAGCCGGUUUAGUAAGUUCCUGGUAAAAUCGGGUAGCUUAACUAUCUGUAUGCUAGGAAUACUGCUAUACUAGAGGGCGGGAGAGGUCUGAGGUACUACAGGGGUAGGGGUGAAAUCUUAUAAUCCUUGUAGGACCACCAGUGGCGAAGGCGUCAGACUGGAACGCGCCUGACGGUGAGGGACGAAAGCCAGGGGAGCGAACCGGAUUAGAUACCCGGGUAGUCCUGGCCGUAAACGAUGCAUACUAGGUGAUGGCACGGCCAUGAGCCGUGUCAGUGCCGUAGGGAAACCGUUAAGUGUGCCGCCUGGGAAGUACGGUCGCAAGGCUAAAACUUAAAGGAAUUGGCGGGGGAGCACCACAAGGGGUGAAGCCUGCGGUUU
rnacentral:rRNA from 1 species